rnacentral:misc_RNA from 1 species
AAGAGAACUUGCCCUCCGGGGUAUAUCUCCCACCCUAUGUUUACAUGCCUUUGUUGCUUUGGCGGGCCCGUCUCGCGACCACCGGCAUUUUUGCUGAUCAGUGCCCGCCAGAGGACCCCAACUCUAAAUUUUUUUGUCGUCUGAGUACUAUAUAAUAGUUA